UACGUAGGGGGCAAGCGUUGUCCGGAUUUAUUGGGCGUAAAGAGCGUGUAGGCGGCCAGGUAGGUCUGCUGUGAAAACUCGAGGCUCAACCUCGAGACGUCGGCGGAAACCAUCUGGCUAGAGUCCGGAAGAGGAGAGUGGAAUUCCUGGUGUAGCGGUGAAAUGCGCAGAUAUCAGGAAGAACACCCGUGGCUAAAGCGGCUCUCUAGUACGGUACUGACGCUGAGACGCGAAAGCGUGGGGGAGCGAACAGG
rnacentral:rRNA from 1 species